rnacentral:tRNA from 1 species
GGUGCUGUGGCACAACAGGUUAAUGCCCUGGCCUGAAGUGCCGGCAUCCCAUAUGGGCUGGGUUCUAGUCCCAGCUGCUCCU